UAAGCGACUAAGCGUACACGGUGGAUGCCCUGGCAGUCAGAGGCGAUGAAGGACGUGCUAAUCUGCGAUAAGCGUCGGUAAGGUGAUAUGAACCGUUAUAACCGGCGAUUUCCGAAUGGGGAAACCCAGUGUGAUUCGUCACACUAUCAUUAACUGAAUCCAUAGGUUAAUGAGGCGAACCGGGGGAACUGAAACAUCUAAGUACCCCGAGGAAAAGAAAUCAACCGAGAUUCCCCCAGUAGCGGCGAGCGAACGGGGAGGAGCCCAGAGCCUGAAUCAGUGUGUGUGUUAGUGGAAGCGUCUGGAAAGGCGCGCGAUACAGGGUGACAGCCCCGUACACAAAAAUGCACAUGCUGUGAGCUCGAUGAGUAGGGCGGGACACGUGGUAUCCUGUCUGAAUAUGGGGGGACCAUCCUCCAAGGCUAAAUACUCCUGACUGACCGAUAGUGAACCAGUACCGUGAGGGAAAGGCGAAAAGAACCCCGGCGAGGGGAGUGAAAAAGAACCUGAAACCGUGUACGUACAAGCAGUGGGAGCACGCUUAGGCGUGUGACUGCGUACCUUUUGUAUAAUGGGUCAGCGACUUAUAUUCUGUAGCAAGGUUAACCGAAUAGGGGAGCCGAAGGGAAACCGAGUCUUAACUGGGCGUUAAGUUGCAGGGUAUAGACCCGAAACCCGGUGAUCUAGCCAUGGGCAGGUUGAAGGUUGGGUAACACUAACUGGAGGACCGAACCGACUAAUGUUGAAAAAUUAGCGGAUGACUUGUGGCUGGGGGUGAAAGGCCAAUCAAACCGGGAGAUAGCUGGUUCUCCCCGAAAGCUAUUUAGGUAGCGCCUCGUGAAUUCAUCUCCGGGGGUAGAGCACUGUUUCGGCAAGGGGGUCAUCCCGACUUACCAACCCGAUGCAAACUGCGAAUACCGGAGAAUGUUAUCACGGGAGACACACGGCGGGUGCUAACGUCCGUCGUGAAGAGGGAAACAACCCAGACCGCCAGCUAAGGUCCCAAAGUCAUGGUUAAGUGGGAAACGAUGUGGGAAGGCCCAGACAGCCAGGAUGUUGGCUUAGAAGCAGCCAUCAUUUAAAGAAAGCGUAAUAGCUCACUGGUCGAGUCGGCCUGCGCGGAAGAUGUAACGGGGCUAAACCAUGCACCGAAGCUGCGGCAGCGACGCUUAUGCGUUGUUGGGUAGGGGAGCGUUCUGUAAGCCUGUGAAGGUGUGCUGUGAGGCAUGCUGGAGGUAUCAGAAGUGCGAAUGCUGACAUAAGUAACGAUAAAGCGGGUGAAAAGCCCGCUCGCCGGAAGACCAAGGGUUCCUGUCCAACGUUAAUCGGGGCAGGGUGAGUCGACCCCUAAGGCGAGGCCGAAAGGCGUAGUCGAUGGGAAACAGGUUAAUAUUCCUGUACUUGGUGUUACUGCGAAGGGGGAACGGAGAAGGCUAUGUUGGCCGGGCGACGGUUGUCCCGGUUUAAGCGUGUAGGCUGGUUUUCCAGGCAAAUCCGGAAAAUCAAGGCUGAGGCGUGAUGACGAGGCACUACGGUGCUGAAGCAACAAAUGCCCUGCUUCCAGGAAAAGCCUCUAAGCAUCAGGUAACAUCAAAUCGUACCCCAAACCGACACAGGUGGUCAGGUAGAGAAUACCAAGGCGCUUGAGAGAACUCGGGUGAAGGAACUAGGCAAAAUGGUGCCGUAACUUCGGGAGAAGGCACGCUGAUAUGUAGGUGAAGUCCCUCGCGGAUGGAGCUGAAAUCAGUCGAAGAUACCAGCUGGCUGCAACUGUUUAUUAAAAACACAGCACUGUGCAAACACGAAAGUGGACGUAUACGGUGUGACGCCUGCCCGGUGCCGGAAGGUUAAUUGAUGGGGUUAGCGCAAGCGAAGCUCUUGAUCGAAGCCCCGGUAAACGGCGGCCGUAACUAUAACGGUCCUAAGGUAGCGAAAUUCCUUGUCGGGUAAGUUCCGACCUGCACGAAUGGCGUAAUGAUGGCCAGGCUGUCUCCACCCGAGACUCAGUGAAAUUGAACUCGCUGUGAAGAUGCAGUGUACCCGCGGCAAGACGGAAAGACCCCGUGAACCUUUACUAUAGCUUGACACUGAACAUUGAGCCUUGAUGUGUAGGAUAGGUGGGAGGCUUUGAAGUGUGGACGCCAGUCUGCAUGGAGCCGACCUUGAAAUACCACCCUUUAAUGUUUGAUGUUCUAACGUGGACCCGUAAUCCGGGUUGCGGACAGUGUCUGGUGGGUAGUUUGACUGGGGCGGUCUCCUCCUAAAGAGUAACGGAGGAGCACGAAGGUUGGCUAAUCCUGGUCGGACAUCAGGAGGUUAGUGCAAUGGCAUAAGCCAGCUUGACUGCGAGCGUGACGGCGCGAGCAGGUGCGAAAGCAGGUCAUAGUGAUCCGGUGGUUCUGAAUGGAAGGGCCAUCGCUCAACGGAUAAAAGGUACUCCGGGGAUAACAGGCUGAUACCGCCCAAGAGUUCAUAUCGACGGCGGUGUUUGGCACCUCGAUGUCGGCUCAUCACAUCCUGGGGCUGAAGUAGGUCCCAAGGGUAUGGCUGUUCGCCAUUUAAAGUGGUACGCGAGCUGGGUUUAGAACGUCGUGAGACAGUUCGGUCCCUAUCUGCCGUGGGCGCUGGAGAAUUGAGGGGGCUGCUCCUAGUACGAGAGGACCGGAGUGGACGCAUCACUGGUGUUCGGGUUGUCAUGCCAAUGGCACUGCCCGGUAGCUAAAUGCGGAAGAGAUAAGUGCUGAAAGCAUCUAAGCACGAAACUUGCCCCGAGAUGAGUUCUCCCUGACUCCUUGAGAGUCCUGAAGGAACGUUGAAGACGACGACGUUGAUAGGCCGGGUGUGUAAGCGCAGCGAUGCGUUGAGCUAACCGGUACUAAUGAACCGUGAGGCUUAACCU
rnacentral:rRNA from 1 species